UACGGAGGGUGCAAGCGUUAUCCGGAUUCACUGGGUUUAAAGGGUGCGUAGGAGGGCAGGUAAGUCAGUGGUGAAAUCCCCGAGCUUAACUUGGGAACUGCCGUUGAUACUAUCUGUCUUGAAUGCCGUGGAGGUGAGCGGAAUAUGUCAUGUAGCGGUGAAAUGCUUAGAUAUGACAUAGAACACCAAUUGCGAAGGCAGCUCGCUACACAGUUAUUGACUCUGAGGCACGAAAGCGUGGGGAUCAAACAGG
rnacentral:rRNA from 1 species